rnacentral:rRNA from 1 species
AGAGUUUGAUCCUGGCUCAGGAUGAACGCUAGCUACAGGCUUAACACAUGCAAGUCGAGGGGCAGCAUUUUAGUUUGCUUGCAAACUAAAGAUGGCGACCGGCGCACGGGUGAGUAACACGUAUCCAACCUGCCGAUAACUCGGGGAUAGCCUUUCGAAAGAAAGAUUAAUAUCCGAUGGUAUAUUAAAACCGCAUGGUUUUACUAUUAAAGAAUUUCGGUUAUCGAUGGGGAUGCGUUCCAUUAGUUUGUUGGCGGGGUAACGGCCCACCAAGACUACGAUGGAUAGGGGUUCUGAGAGGAAGGUCCCCCACAUUGGAACUGAGACACGGUCCAAACUCCUACGGGAGGCAGCAGUGAGGAAUAUUGGUCAAUGGACGAGAGUCUGAACCAGCCAAGUAGCGUGAAGGAUGACUGCCCUAUGGGUUGUAAACUUCUUUUAUAUGGGAAUAAAGUAUUCCACGUGUGGAAUUUUGUAUGUACUUUAUGAAUAAGGAUCGGCUAACUCCGUGCCAGCAGCCGCGGUAAUACGGAGGAUCCGAGCGUUAUCCGGAUUUAUUGGGUUUAAAGGGAGCGUAGAUGGAUGUUUAAGUCAGUUGUGAAAGUUUGCGGCUCAACCGUAAAAUUGCAGUUGAUACUGGAUAUCUUGAGUGCAGUUGAGGCAGGCGGAAUUCGUGGUGUAGCGGUGAAAUGCUUAGAUAUCACGAAGAACUCCGAUUGCGAAGGCAGCCUGCUAAGCUGCAACUGACAUUGAGGCUCGAAAGUGUGGGUAUCAAACAGGAUUAGAUACCCUGGUAGUCCACACGGUAAACGAUGAAUACUCGCUGUUUGCGAUAUACUGCAAGCGGCCAAGCGAAAGCGUUAAGUAUUCCACCUGGGGAGUACGCCGGCAACGGUGAAACUCAAAGGAAUUGACGGGGGCCCGCACAAGCGGAGGAACAUGUGGUUUAAUUCGAUGAUACGCGAGGAACCUUACCCGGGCUUAAAUUGCAGAUGAAUUACGGUGAAAGCCGUAAGCCGCAAGGCAUCUGUGGAGGUGCUGCAUGGUUGUCGUCAGCUCGUGCCGUGAGGUGUCGGCUUAAGUGCCAUAACGAGCGCAACCCUUGUUGUCAGUUACUAACAGGUUCCGCUGAGGACUCUGACAAGACUGCCAUCGUAAGAUGUGAGGAAGGCGGGGAUGACGUCAAAUCAGCACGGCCCUUACGUCCGGGGCUACACACGUGUUACAAUGGGGGGUACAGAGGGCCGCUACCACGCGAGUGGAUGGCAAUCCCCAAAACCUCUCUCAGUUCGGACUGGAGUCUGCAACCCGACUCCACGAAGCUGGAUUCGCUAGUAAUCGCGCAUCAGCCACGGCGCGGUGAAUACGUUCCCGGGCCUUGCACACACCGCCCGUCA